UACGUAGGGGGCAAGCGUUGUUCGGAAUUACUGGGCGUAAAGGGCGCGUAGGCGGCCUGCUAAGUCGCACGUGAAAUCCCUGGGCUCAACCCAGGAACUGCGUCCGAUACUGGUUGGCUUGAAUCCGGGAGAGGGAUGUGGAAUUCCAGGUGUAGCGGUGAAAUGCGUAGAUAUCUGGAGGAACACCGGUGGCGAAGGCGGCAUCCUGGACCAAUAUUGACGCUGAGGAGCGAAAGCUAGGGGAGCAAACGGG
rnacentral:rRNA from 1 species